AUUGCGGCUGUCUCUAAUUCGCUUGGUGCAGGUCGGGACUAAUUCGCCGGCGGCGGCGUAAAUCACGACGGCGGUUAUUAUUCUUAAACGAAGUUUAGAUGUACGAAGUUAUCAACAAUUUCCUUUUGCGGCUUUUGGUCCCGCCUUGCAUCAACUGAAUUGGAGACUGCUGUGAAU
rnacentral:pre_miRNA from 1 species